rnacentral:lncRNA from 1 species
CAGAUUCUACGCGAUCGAAAAGACUUAUCUUGCUAACAGCGAUCUGGUGGGUAGUUUGGACGAACAAAAACAACUCUGUAUUCCGGGCAAUACCGGCCAAUGCCAGCCGGGCACUUGAACAGGUCAACCUUCUGACGAGCGACGUCGACUGGAACGUGCUGCGAUAAUAAUUUGCUAGCUCUCCAACUUACACUUCCAUCUUCCCCACACCACUCUUGCUUUUGUAAUCUUUUUGCACCUUUUUCGAUCUCUUUCCUCGCCUUUCUUUGGAGGCCUUAACUGCUUUCAUCAUAUACGCUCAGUUCAUUUUACUUAAUGAAUGAAGCAGGUAGCUUGCUACCUUUUUCUCAAAAAAAGCUUUUGGGGGUCAUGCUUUCGUAGGUUAU